rnacentral:rRNA from 1 species
UACGUAGGAGGCAAGCGUUGUCCGGAAUUACUGGGCGUAAAGCGCGUGUAGGUGGUGGGACAAGUCUGCUGUGAAAGCGCCUGGCUUAACCGGGCGAGGUCGGCGGAAACUGUCCGACUCGAGGACGGUAGAGGGGGGUGGAAUUCCCGGUGUAGUGGUGAAAUGCGUAGAGAUCGGGAGGAACACCUGUGGCGAAGGCGGCCCCCUGGGCCGGACCUGACGCUGAGACGCGAAGGCGUGGGGAGCGAACGGG